rnacentral:rRNA from 1 species
CCUACGGGGGGCAGCAGUGGGGAAUAUUGCACAAUGGGCGCAAGCCUGAUGCAGCCAUGCCGCGUGUGUGAAGAAGGCCUUCGGGUUGUAAAGCACUUUCAGCGGGGAGGAAGGCGGUGAGGUUAAUAACCUCAUCGAUUGACGUUACCCGCAGAAGAAGCACCGGCUAACUCCGUGCCAGCAGCCGCGGUAGUACGGAGGGUGCAAGCGUUAAUCGGAAUUACUGGGCGUAAAGCGCACGCAGGCGGUCUGUCAAGUCGGAUGUGAAAUCCCCGGGCUCAACCUGGGAACUGCAUUCGAAACUGGCAGGCUAGAGUCUUGUAGAGGGGGGUAGAAUUCCAGGUGUAGCGGUGAAAUGCGUAGAGAUCUGGGGGAAUACCGGUGGCGAAGGCGGCCCCCUGGACAAAGACUGACGCUCAGGUGCGAAAGCGUGGGGAGCAAACAGGAUUAGAUACCCGAGUAGUC